CACACACACACACAGAGAGAGAGAGAGAGAGAGAGAGCGAAAACGACCAGAGAGAUGAACCAAAAAAGGAACAAACUACUUCACAAGCAUUCUCUUCCCACUUCAAACUCCUUCUCUUCUCUUUACUUCACUGUCGUUCUUUAU
rnacentral:ribozyme from 11 species